UACGUAGGGGGCAAGCGUUGUCCGGAUUCAUUGGGCGUAAAGAGCGUGUAGGCGGCUUGGCAAGUCGGUUGUGAAAGCCCGGGGCCCAACCCCGGAACUGCAUCUGAAACUGCCUGGCUAGAGUCCCGGAGAGGAAGGCAGAAUUCCCGGUGUAGGGGUGAAAUCCGUAGAUAUCGGGAGGAAUACCAGCGGCGAAGGCGGCCUUCUGGACGGUGACUGACGCUGAGACGCGAAAGCGUGGGGAGCAAACAGG
rnacentral:rRNA from 1 species